rnacentral:lncRNA from 1 species
GUAUGCAUGACAGCUUUGGAAUCGGAUGCAACUCUACCUGAAAGAUCGUCUGUCGAUGCGCCGGACCUAGCUCGGCUAUUGCAGUUCUGUUUGUCUCACACGUACUUUACGUUCCAAAGGAAUUUCUACAAACAAGUCCACGGAACGGCUGUGGAAGCUUCUAUAUCGAUAACCGUCGCUAAUUUGACAAUGGAAGCACUUGAAAGUCGAGCCCUCUCUUCGUUUAGCCCUGCUCCGAAGAUAUUUUUUCGCUACGUGGACGAGUGCUUCUGCAUCAUUCUCAAAGAAGCAGUUCAGUCGUUCACUUCGCACCCACCUGAACGGCAUGGAAGCAACAAUCCAGUUCAUGGUGGAAGAGCAAGUCGACGGCAAGCUCCCGUUCCUUGAUAUGCUGAUUGAAAGGAAGGGGUCUAUACUUUGUCGUUCGGCGUUUUCAGAAAGCCAACUCACACAGGGCGCUACUUGCAUUUCCGUUCUAUGCAACCGGCUUCUCAUAGAAGGGCAGUGGUUUCCACGCUUCUACGACACGCGCAGAAAAUCUACGCAAGACAGAAGACUACGCAGCCGACGUAAGCGUGGUACGGCGGGAACUGUCAGCCGGUGGUUAUCCAAAUUCUUUCUUGAAUGCUGUUGAACGACUAAUGGCACGUCCACAGUUGCCCUGCGCUGCCUCUGGUCAAAAGCGCGCCGGAAUACCGUAUAUAUCCCGUUCAUAAGUGGAGCUCCCAGCCGCGUUCUGCGUUCUUACAAUGUUCAAGUGGCACACGUGCCAAACAAGAAAUUGCGACAAUCGCUCGUCGAUGUUAAGGACAAGUUAUCAAAAGAGAAAUUCCCAGGUGUUGUGUAUCUUGUCCCAUGCGCGGAUUGUGACUACAUGUAUAUUGGCGAAACUGGUGACCUUGAGAGGCGUCCUAAACAGCACAAAUUAUGACGU